rnacentral:rRNA from 1 species
GACGAACGCUGGCGGCGUGCUUAACACAUGCAAGUCGAACGGAAAGGCCCUGCUUUUGUGGGGUGCUCGAGUAGCGAACGGGUGAGUAACACGUGAGUAACCUGCCCUUGUCUUUGGGAUAACUUCAGGAAACUGGGGCUCAUACCGGAUAGUAGCUCCUGCUGCAUGGUGGGGGUUGGAAUGUUUCGGGGGGUGGGGAUGGACUCGCGGCUUAUCCGCUUGUUGGUGGGGUAGUGGCUUACCAAGGUUUUGACGGGUAGCCGGCCUGAGAGGGUGAGCGGACACAUUGGGAGUGAGAUGGGGCCCAGACUUCUACGGGGGGCAGCAGUGGGGAAUAGUGCACAAGGGGCGGAAGCCUGAUGCAGCAACGCCGCGUGCGAGAUGACGGCCUUCGGGUUGUAACCCGCUUUCGCCUGUGACGAAGCGUGUGUGACGGUAAUGGGUAAAGAAGCACCGGCUAACUACGUG